AUUGAACGCUGGUGGCAUGCCUUACACAUGCAAGUCGAACGGUAACAGGGAGCUUGCUCCGCUGACGAGUGGCGAACGGGUGAGUAAUGUAUCGGAACGUACCUUUCAGUGGGGGAUAACGUAGCGAAAGUUACGCUAAUACCGCAUAUUCUGUGAGCAGGAAAGCAGGGGAUCGCAAGACCUUGCGCUGAUUGAGCGGCCGAUAUCAGAUUAGCUAGUUGGUGAGGUAAAGGCUCACCAAGGCGACGAUCUGUAGCGGGUCUGAGAGGAUGAUCCGCCACACUGGAACUGAGACACGGUCCAGACUCCUACGGGAGGCAGCAGUGGGGAAUUUUGGACAAUGGGGGCAACCCUGAUCCAGCCAUGCCGCGUGAGUGAAGAAGGCCUUCGGGUUGUAAAGCUCUUUCGGCCGGGAAGAAAUCGCAUGGGUUAAUACCCUGUGCGGAUGACGGUACCGGCAUAAGAAGCACCGGCUAACUACGUGCCAGCCGCCGCUGUAA
rnacentral:rRNA from 1 species